UAGGGAAUCUUCCACAAUGGACGCAAGUCUGAUGGAGCAACGCCGCGUGAGUGAAGAAGGUUUUCGGAUCGUAAAGCUCUGUUGUUGGUGAAGAAGGAUAGAGGCAGUAACUGGUCUUUAUUUGACGGUAAUCAACCAGAAAGUCACGGCUAACUACGUGCCAGCAGCCGCGGUAAUACGUAGGUGGCAAGCGUUGUCCGGAUUUAUUGGGCGUAAAGCGAGCGCAGGCGGAAUGGUAAGUCUAAUGUGAAAGCCCACGGCUCAACCGUGGAACUGCAUCGGAAACUGGCAUUCUUGAGUGCAGAAGAGGAGAGUGGAAUUCCAUGUGUAGCGGUGGAAUGCGUAGAUAUAUGGAAGAACACCAGUGGCGAAGGCGGCGCUCUGGUCUGCAACUGACGCUGAGGCUCGAAAGCAUGGGUAGCGAACAGG
rnacentral:rRNA from 1 species